AAAUAGAUACCCAGGUAGUCCACGCCGUAAACGAUGAGUGCUAGGUGUUGGGGGGUCCACCCCUCGGUGCCGAAGUUAACACAUUAAGCACUCCGCCUGGGGAGUACGGUCGCAAGACUGAAACUCAAAGGAAUUGACGGGGGACCCGCACAAGCAGUGGAGUAUGUGGUUUAAUUCGAAGCAACGCGAAGAACCUUACCAGGUCUUGACAUCCCUCUGACCGGCCUAGAGAUAGGCCUUCCCUUCGGGGCAGAGGGAGACAGGUGGUGCAUGGUUGUCGUCAGCUCGUGUCGUGAGAUGUUGGGUUAAGUCCCGCAACGAGCGCAACCCUUGAACUUAGUUGCCAGCACCUCGGGUGGGCACUCUAGGUUGACUGCCGGUGACAAACCGGAGGAAGGCGGGGAUGACGUCAAAUCAUCAUGCCCCUUAUGACCUGGGCUACACACGUACUACAAUGGCCGGUACAACGGGUCGCGAAGCCGCGAGGCGGAGCCAAUCCUAUCAAAGCCGGUCUCAGUUCGGAUUGCAGGCUGCAACUCGCCUGC
rnacentral:rRNA from 1 species